rnacentral:rRNA from 1 species
GAUGAACGCUGGCGGCGUGCUUAACACAUGCAAGUCGAACGGUGAAGCAGAGCUUGCUCUGUGGAUCAGUGGCGAACGGGUGAGUAACACGUGAGCAACCUGCCCUGGACUCUGGGAUAAGCGCUGGAAACGGCGUCUAAUACUGGAUACGAGACGUGGCCGCAUGGUCAACGUUUGGAAAGAUUUUUUGGUUCAGGAUGGGCUCGCGGCCUAUCAGCUUGUUGGUGAGGUAAUGGCUCACCAAGGCGUCGACGGGUAGCCGGCCUGAGAGGGUGACCGGCCACACUGGGACUGAGACACGGCCCAGACUCCUACGGGAGGCAGCAGUGGGGAAUAUUGCACAAUGGGCGAAAGCCUGAUGCAGCAACGCCGCGUGAGGGAUGACGGCCUUCGGGUUGUAAACCUCUUUUAGCAAGGAAGAAGCGAAAGUGACGGUACUUGCAGAAAAAGCGCCGGCUGACUACGUGCCAGCAGCCGCGGUAACAC